GUUGCUACGUGUUAGAAAAUUGCUUGCUGGGUUAGAGAGUCACCCACAACUCCUAACACGAGACACAAGAGAGAGAGUAAAAAAAAUCCUACAGAAACUUAAUCUUCUUUUUCAACAACUCACAAAAUCAACUUACACUUCAGCAAAGCUUAAACCUAUAAGAACUACAAUGACUCACCCACAAUAAAUUGCACUCAGCUCUUAAGACGGCGAGAGAAUCUAACCCAAAAAAAGAAAAGAGCAAAAAGGCCGCAAACACUCGCCCUGAGGCUUAUAUACCCUAGCAUACCCCGCGCGUCGCGACACAACUA
rnacentral:misc_RNA from 1 species